GCUAUAUAGAGGCCCAUAAUACAAUUUUGUAGCUGAAUGAUGCCCUAAAACCUAAACCUAACCCUAAGCACCUAAAGUCUCAAAAGCCACUUCCCCCUUUUAUAUAUAUAUGAACGCAAACACAUGAUCUUCUUCAAUCAUUCCUUCAGUGAUGAUGAAAGUUUAUUUGACAAUGUCUUCUGAAGCAUAAAUUAUGCGAAGUGAUUGAACAAUUAACCUCCUACUCAUUCUGAAUCCCAUUUUCGUCCUUUGGAUUAUCAAUUUUUUAAAUUUUCGAAUGAUUUCUGUUAAUGAGUAGUUUCUUGAACAUGAAUUGAAUUAUUAUGUUAUGAUUUUUAAGAAUGAGGUGAAACAGAGGUUAAAAAGUGGCAA